GGGGUCAUGGUGUUCUCAGAGCAGCUGAGGACCCAGUGGGUGGAGGUCUUCCCCUAACCAGCCCUUAGCCCUUAGGUCAAGGGCCUGCCCUCUCUGUUGGGGUGGGGGUGGGCACAGGUUUAUGAGUGGCUAUGGGAGGUGCCUGCAUGGUCUUUCUGGCCCCGCCCCGAUUUCCUCUUUCAUCUCAUCUCCCCAAGGGGCAGGAAAGUCCAAAAUAUUUCCUCUCUUCUCUUUCUCAUCUUUGUUUGGCAGGAAUUCUGUGCUUUGUAGGGCCUCCCCUUCAUUUCACAAAUCUUUACUGAGCUCCUUCCACGUGCCAGGCUCAGUCCAACUGCCCAAGAUAUGCUAGCAAAUAAAACAGAGAAAGGGCUUCACCUGGUAGGACGUUGUCUCACAGAGCAGCGGUCCCCAACCUUUUUGGCAUGAGGGACUGGUUUUGUGGAAGACAAUUUUUCUACAGACCAGGGGUGGGAAAUGGUUCGGGAUGAUUCAAGAGCAUUACGUUUAUUGCGCCCUUUAUUUCUAUUAUUAUCGCAUCAGCUCCACCUCAGGUCAUCAGGCAUUAGAUCCCAGAGGCUGGGGACCCCUGUCACAGAGGAAAACAUAUCAUGAGCAGCAGGCCCAAUGCAGAAGUGCAUCAUUUAGUGGUUCAGGAGUGUUAAGUGCUGUGAAAGAACAGAGGAAAACCAGAGCGCAUAGGGACGGCAGGAGAUCUGGGGGCAGAGGUGGAAGACAAGGGACAAGCUGGCACCUUCAAUAAGAAUUCUAAGUCUUUUCAAGACCGAAUGGACCACAGAGGAGAGGCACUGGGUAGAAAACUCAACAGGUGAUAUUUGAAGACCUCUGCUUAUAGCCUGGGUCAUCCCCCUGGAAGCUGAAGAUCCUGUUCUCAAAGCCUUUUAAUUGCUUGGCUAAAGACUGAACGCCUACCUUGUUCCCCACCAAAGCCACUGCCUGGCAGAACAUUCCAGGGCACAGGCUCUUGCAUUCUCCAGUCUGGAAGGUUCUGCUUCCACGGCCUGACAGAGGGAGCCGGACCAGGCCAUCAUGUUCAUGGUUCCAGCCCUACUAAGACUGGGCUCCAACAGCUGGGCCCUGCAGAGAGGGCGAUGGAAGAAAGACCCUAGCACAGGCCAGAAGGAGGCCCUGGGCUGUCACGGGUGCCACUGGUUUGGCCCCUGCACUUCCAAAGGAGCUGUUCUUGCCAAACUCCAAGCCCCCUCCCUAGGAGGCAUGCUGGCAAUGGUGGGCCAUGGCUUACAGAUUCGCUGGCCAUGCAUGGCUUAGUGCAGAAAACUACUGCUCUUUGAGAAGAGAAAAGAUGACCGCGCUCUGUGGGUGGAUUUAAGUUGUGCUGUGCUGCUGCCUUGCCUCAUUCCCCAUCACCACCCCCCUUCCUACUCGACCCUGGUUCAGCAAGUCAGUAUGGAACGGCCACCAAGAGUCAGUGGACCUGUGUGUGAGCCGGGCUCUGCCAUGGCCGCUCUGAAUGACCCUCAGCCUGAGCCCCGUUGUCCCAUCUUGCAGUGAUGAAGUUUAGGAACAUCAUCAUCUCUACCUCUGUUACACAGUAAUGAUGCUGUGCGUGGCGUGGAUGCUCUGUGCACUGACUGUCCAAGACCCCCAUUCCAAGGGUCUUACCUGGGGGGCAGUACCCUUCCCCAGUUGUGAACACUGACAGUGGCAAAUGGGCUCACCCUCCUCUCAUACAUCCCGGAGGACACGUAUCUGCCCAUACCUGCCCAGAACAAAUGCUGGGAAAAU